AGUGAACGCUGGCGGUAGGCCUAACACAUGCAAGUCGAACGGCAGCACAGUAAGAGCUUGCUCUUACGGGUGGCGAGUGGCGGACGGGUGAGGAAUACAUCGGAAUCUACUUUUUCGUGGGGGAUAACGUAGGGAAACUUACGCUAAUACCGCAUACGACCUACGGGUGAAAGCAGGGGAUCUUCGGACCUUGCGCGAUUGAAUGAGCCGAUGUCGGAUUAGCUAGUUGGCGGGGUAAAGGCCCACCAAGGCGACGAUCCGUAGCUGGUCUGAGAGGAUGAACAGCCAAAAUGGAAAUGAGAAAAGGGACAGACUCCCAAGGGAGGCAGAAGUGGGGAAUAAUGGACAAUGGGCGCAAGCCUGAUCCAGCCAUACCGCGUGGGUGAAGAAGGCCUUCGGGUUGUAAAGCCCUUUUGUUGGGAAAGAAAAGCAGCAGGUUAAUACCCCGCUGUUCUGACGGUACCCAAAGAAUAAGCACCGGCUAACUUCGUG
rnacentral:rRNA from 1 species